rnacentral:lncRNA from 1 species
UGCGGUCUUAAAUUUGUACUCCAUUAGCUUCGCCAUUGUAACCAAAGAUUGCGCUUUAUAUGAUAUCCUCAGAAUGUAUCGCUUUAUAUUUUUGAAUGCGAAUAAGUCAAAUAAACAUUUUUAGCAGGAUUUUAUAUUAUAAUUUGGCAUUAAUUAAAUUUAAUGAUGCCAGUACUGCUAGAAAUUUAUACCCUGCUUGAGAGCUUCUAAACCAAGGUUAGGUAUGCUAUUUACAGCAAAAUUGACCUAUAAGUGCUUUCAAAUACCUAAAAAUUGUACAAUUUGUCCUCUUUUAAGGUAAUUUUAUGAUUUUAAAUAAGAUAAUGGGAAAAGUUUUAGAAAUUUACCCCAAAAAUGAGACAGACUUGAAGUUUUUCACUAUGAUCCAGCAUUUAUUUUUAAAUCACUUUUUGUCGCGUUUCAACAUCAACUGCUAACCUUCAUAAAAUCUUUAUUACUGAACCAAUUUUAAAAACUAAGGUACCAUUUUCAUCGUAACAGCUAGUAGAACACAGAAAAUAUAAUAAAAAUUGAGGCAGGAGGGGAAAAAUUUCACCUUAAGGUAGCACUCCACAGUUAGGUGUGUAGUUUCGCAUUUUGG